rnacentral:snRNA from 1 species
AUACUUACCUGGCUGGGGAGACACCAUGAUCACGAAGGUGGUUUUCCCAGGGCGGAGGCCUUAUCCAUUGCACUCCGGAUCUACUGACCUCUGCAAUUUCCCCAAAUGUGGGAAACUUGACUGCAUAAUUUGUGGUAGUGGGGGGACUGUGUUCACGCUCUCCCCUA